AUUGAACGCUGGCGGCAGGCCUAACACAUGCAAGUCGAGCGGAUGAAGGGAGCUUGCUCCUGGAUUCAGCGGCGGACGGGUGAGUAAUGCCUAGGAAUCUGCCUGGUAGUGGGGGAUAACGUCCGGAAACGGGCGCUAAUACCGCAUACGUCCUGAGGGAGAAAGUGGGGGAUCUUCGGACCUCACGCUAUCAGAUGAGCCUAGGUCGGAGUAGCUAGUUGGUGGGGUAAAGGCCUACCAAGGCGACGAUCCGUAGCUGGUCUGAGAGGAUGAUCAGUCACCUUGGAAGUGAGACACGGUCCAGACUCCUAAGGGAGGCAGCAGUGGGGAAUAUUGGACAGUGGGCGAAAGCCUGAUCCAGCCAUGCCGCGUGUGUGAAGAAGGUCUUCGGAGUGUAAAGCACUUUAAGUUGGGAGGAAGGGCAGUAAGUUAAUACCUUGCGGUUUUGACGGUACCAACAGAAUAAGCACCGGCUAACUUCGUG
rnacentral:rRNA from 1 species